rnacentral:rRNA from 1 species
GACGAACGCUGGCGGCGUGCUUAACACAUGCAAGUCGAACGGAAAGGCCCUGCUUUUGUGGGGUGCUCGAGUGGCGAACGGGUGAGUAACACGUGAGUAACCUGCCCUUGACUUUGGGAUAACUUCAGGAAACUGGGGCGAAUACCGGAUAGGAGCUCCUGCUGCAUGGUGGGGGUUGGAAAGUUUCGGCGGUUGGGGAUGGACUCGCGGCUUAUCAGCUUGUUGGUGGGGUAGUGGCUUACCAAGGCUUUGACGGGUAGCCGGCCUGAGAGGGUGACCGGCCACAUUGGGACUGAGAUACGGCCCAGACUCCUACGGGAGGCAGCAGUGGGGAAUAUUGCACAAUGGGCGGGAGCCUGAUGCAGCAACGCCGCGUGCGGGAUGACGGCCUUCGGGUUGUAAACCGCUUUCGCCUGUGACGAAGCGUGAGUGACGGUAAUGGGUAAAGAAGCACCGGCUAACUACGUG